rnacentral:lncRNA from 1 species
CGAGUAGGGUCAGUCAGGAGUUGACUUUGACCUUGUCUUUGUCCAAGGGUUGACCAAUGGUGUCCAGGGGCAUUUUGGUAAUUAUUGUUUGUUGUUUUGAGUUCAGCGCAUUGGUGGUUGACCAGUGGUGGAGAUCGUAUCAGUGAUCGGAGUAGCUUGGAUUAUCUGUUCAGUCGGCAGCUUCGAGGUGAGUUAUCCUCACUAUAUCAACGGGGUCUAAGGCACCAAGGCCGGCCCUUAUCGGAUUGAGAUCCGGGUAGUUGUUUUUAUGUUACUGCUUUAUCAUGUUUGCAUCCUGUGAGUUAGGAUGGUAUAUGCUAGAGACCUGAUUGAGAUCGGUAUCCAGAGAGAUAGGGAGAUGCUAUGUUAGUGACCUGUUAGGUCGGUAUCCUGGUUAGGAUAGUGGCAUGUUAUGUGAUCUGUUGAUCUGCUUGUUAUCUGUGAAUUGUUAGAUGAUUGUAUGUAUAUGUGCACAUGGAUGUUUGGACUGGAGUUGGGUUGAGGCGGGUCCUGCUGUGUGCAGUAGGCCAAGAUACCCAGGGCGGACCGGUUGUCCCGUAGGCCCAGCGAGCGGUCCGGAUAGGCUGUAGGUCCCGGUAGGGGCGGACCAGACGUGCCGAAGGCUCGGAGAGUGGACCAGACAGACUGAAGGCCCGGUGCGGGCGGACCAGUCAUACUGUAGACUCAGAGAGUGGACCAGGUGGAUUGAAGGCCCGGGAACGGGCGGACCAAUCACACUGCAGACUCGAUGUAUGCGGAUUGACUCAGAGGGUGGACCAGGUGGACUGUUGGCCGGUGCGGCGGACCAGUCACACAGUAGACCCGGAGAGCAUGGCUGUUCUAUGAUCGGAUAUGUUAUGGCAUGUUAUGCGUGUAUGGUAUUUGUGGUUGGUAUUUUGGGGGUAUCUCACUAAGCUUUCGGGCUUACAGUUGUGGUUUCAUGUUUUUCAGGUUCUUCAGGAGAUCGUGGCAAGGCGAAGGCGUGAUCGUACCGCUCCUCAUAAUUUUGUGGUGUUAUGAUUCUGGGAAUACGAUAAAUAUUUUGUAUUGAAAACCUUUUUGUAAAGAAUUAUUGGAAUUGAGAUGUUUUUGAAAAAUUUAAAAUUGGUUGUGUUUUUCGGUCGUUACAAGUUGGUAUCAGAGCCUUGGUUUGAGUGAAUUGGAGAAACACUCGUGUGACUCCAGUCUCAAAUCGAGGAGAGUUUUCGAAAGAGUAAUUAAAAACGGUUUUCAAAAAUGAGUAAAGGAGGACGCGGAGGUACGAUCAGCCGGAGCUAGUAAGUAACCCCAAAAUACCAUGCAUGUUAUUUGUUUUUGAGCUUUGAUAGAACAGCAUGCUAGUGUUAGGCUAGGGAUCUUCAGGAUUUCAUGAUAUGUUGCCUGAUUUGUGAUGCCUGUAGCCUAGGGUCCCUUAUGGGAGAUUCUCAGUGUUUCUCUAGUGGUGAGGGUUGAUUAUUGUUAUGCUUGUUCUCUAGGGUAUUGUGGUAGUACUUCAUACAAAUGUGGGUAGGUGUGGAAGGUAGUAUGGGCCCGUACUACUGAAAGCACAGGACCCAUACGCGUAUCAGGGAAACCAUGAUCUCUAGGGUGGGUUGAGAGAGAGUUGGAUCCCAGGGUGUGGGAAGAGUCUGAGAUUUUGUGUGGUGUUUCCUUUCAGUAUGGAGAUUCCGAGGCAUGAUGAGAGUGGAUCCGGGUCAGGAUCGGGAGCUGGAGAGAGGGUUCCGGGCGAAUCAGUGCCGCCCGAGAUUGUCGGUCAGAUGAGCACGAGCGAGUUGGACGCGAGGAUUCGUGAGAUCCUGCGUGAGGAGAUUGCGGAGUUGUUCCGGGCUGAGUUGCCAGAGCUGUUUGGGUCGAUUAAGACCGCCAUGGUUGAGUAUUUUGAUGAGCGUUAUGCGGCUCUCACCGAGACGGCUACCGCGGCGGCUACAACAGCUGUAGCAGCGGCAGGGGGAGGAGCUAGUCGGGGUUUUCAGUAUCGGGACUUCGAUAGGACGAAGCCUCCCACAUUCGACGGAGUUCAGGACCCGAUUGUUGCUAUGAGGUGGUUGUCAGACGUGGAGGGAUGUUUCUUCACGUGUUCAUGCCCUGCUGAUCAUAGGGUGAGGUGUGCUCUGAACCUGUUGAGGCUCGGGGCGAAGGAUUGGUGGAGAUUGACCACGGGGUCAUUUUCGGAGGCGCAGAGGGCUGCGGUUUCAUGGGAUCAGUUCAGAGAAAUGUUCAGUACUCGUUAUGUUCCGCAGGUUGAGAGGGAGAGAUUGGCUCAGGAGUUCCUUGAGCUGAAGCAGGAUUCGGAGUCGGUGACUGAGAUCACUAGGAUGUUCACUAAGAGGGCGAUGUUUUUCCCAGAGUUCGCUUCGGAGCAGGCCCAUAUGUCCCGAUAUCUGAGCAUGCUCAAGAGGGACAUCAGACAGUUUGUGUCUGCGUAGAGGUGCGAGACCUUGUUGGAGUUGCAGGAGGCCGCUAGGCGGCGUGAGUUAGAGAUUGAGUUGCAGUUGCGUGAGCUGAGGCAGGCUCCGGUGCAGUCGCAGCCGGCGCCGAAACGGUCCAAGACCGUUGAUGUUAGAGUGGGGGAUCUGAGCAGCCACACUUGUGGGAAGUGUGGGAGGGGUCACACCGGAGUUUGUAGGUCCGGUGGUGCAUGCCGCAAGUGCGGAAGGGAGGGGCACUAUGCGAGGGAUUGUCGGCAGUCAGCGCCAGCUCGGGAUUUGAGGAUCUGUUAUCAUUGUCAUCAGGUUGGAAAUUUGAGGGCCAACUGUCCACAGUUUGCUGUUGGAUCGGUGCAGGCUCCAGCACCGGCCACUUUGAGGAUCACAGGUGGAGGUCAGGGUGGAGCGGAGCCCCCAAGGGCUCAGGGUCGUGUUUUUCAGCUUGUUGCAGAGGAGGUCAGGGCAGUGCCAGAGACAGCUGCGGGUAUGUUUCUUUCUUGAUGUCUUGUUAUCUUGUGAUUAUUGUGGUGUAAUGUUCAUGAGCCGGUAAUUGUUUGGUUUUCGUUGUGAUAUUCUUCGUUUUGCGGGUUGUGGUUUGGGUUAUGGAUUUGUGUUUCGGGUUUUCGUCUUGGUAUCCGUUGUUCCCUGAGGGUUUGAUAUGAUUAUGGUAAGUGUUUUGGUGCUUUCGUUGGUUAUCGUUCGUAAGGGUUGUUAGUGGAGAUGCGGCAUUGGGUUAUACAUCAGGUAGCAUCUUCGUUCGUGGAAGGGAUAAUUGGAGAUCGGAUUCUUCUUGAGCGGAUUAAUCAGUGAGGAGAUGUGUUUUGAUAAGGGUUGUUUAUGCUUGUGGAAGCGGCCCGUGUGUAAGUGGUCUCUUGGUGCAGGGUUGUUUUGGAAGGUCGUUGAUGGCGGCUGGCGGUUGUUAGUCAGUGCUAUAGUGGGGGAGAAUUGGAGAAUUCUCCGGGAGAUCGAUGAGUAUUUGAGGGUGCUUAGCUGUUGGGAUUCAGCAGUGUUCUGUCAGCCUAGAGUAUAGGCUGAUAGGAGCAAGUGUCGGGCAUGCGGGGCGGGAUACAGAUGUAUGGCAUUGGUUAUGGAGGCCUGGAAGCAGGCCGGGAUCGAGUAUGUCGAUGGAGUUAGAGUUCGGAACCCCUAGAGGGCUAGAACGGUAUGCAUGGGAGGAUUCCCGAGGGGGAUAGCAUGGAAUGUUGGUUGAUAGUGAGCGGUCCGGAUAGACUGAAGGCCGGAAGGCGUACCAGUCAGACCGAAGGCUCGGAGAAUGGUCCAGCCAAACUGAAGGCUCUGAGAGCGGUCCAGAUUGGCUGAAGGUUCUGAGAGAGUGGUCCAGAUGGACUGAAGGCCUGAUGAGGCGGUCCAGUCAUGCUGAAGACUCUGCGGGUAUUGUUGGAUCAGUUUGAGAUUGCUGAUUGUGUAUGUUGCAGUGUGAUUGCAUUGGAAGGUCUGGCCCCGGGUAGUGAUUUUGAUGAGUUGAGAGAAUGCAUGGGAUUGAGAGCCCCUGCAAUGAGAGCCAGAGUAUGUGAAUCGCGGUUACGCAAAAAGGGUGGUGUCGCAUUGGGCGAGCACCGUGGCACGUGUUGGAGUGGCAAUGUGGCCAAGUGGAUUCCUUGGAAAAGGAAGAGAGAAAGGUGUGUAACUCCGAAGGGGAGUGCAAGUUCACGAAAGUGAAAGCUGCAGAGCAGAGUUAUGAUUAGAGUAUUUCGAGUAUGGUUUUGGGCAUCGUGCUCGCGGCAGUGAAGUAGGAGCUCAUCCGGUUUGGGAUGUCUGCUGAGGUUGCGGAAGGAAUUCCGCAGGUGUAGAGCCCAGAGGCUUGGAAAGGAUGCAGGGGGAGAGUCCUGGACUCUCAGUAUGAUUCUGUUCAGGGUAUUGGUUAUGUAUUAGUGGUUCAUCCUGGGGGAUGUUUGAGGGUGUCAUCAGUGUGUCGGGUUUUCCAAACCUGAGGAUACUGGAGCUAGUUCAGCAUGUGUAUGUGUUUGUAAGAGGAGGACUCGUGGGAGUGCUCUGAGAUAGAGAAUGGGUUUUCCGUCGUCACGGAAUGGAUAGAGUGGGAUUCGGAUCGGGGAUCCGAUGGUUCAUGGUUUUCUAGCCUUUAUGAGUCGAGUGAUGGUUGUGAUUUGGAGCAGUGUUGCAUUAUGGGUAAUUCUCAGGGGUUAAGUGAAGUUAUUAGAGGGUGAAUCCGGUGCCCUAUUUGAGACGGUGGUCAGGACACCGUGAGGGAAGGAAAGUGUAUUCGAGUUUCGUUUAGGUAUGCCUCGAGGGACCUGGUCUGGUUGAGGCCAGGUGGCGCGUAGCGGGAGUAUCUUUGGAGUUGAGCUGCUAUAGGCUUCGAGGGCGAAGCCUAAUAUAAGUGGGGGAGAAUUGUAACAUCCCGAAAUAGCAAGAGUAGAGUUGAAGGGCUAAAAGUGUUAUUUGAGGAAGAGUGACUCGGCGAGUCCAUGGAUGGACUCGGCGAGUACAGUCGCGAAUUUGGUCGCGUGUUAAGUAGCCGACUCGGCGAGUCGAUGAGAUGGACUCGGCGAGUAGGCGCUGGGUGGAGAAAACCCUAAUUCUCGGGGUUGAGCCCUAUAUAAGGAACAUUAUGUUCCUUCCCCAGCCUCUUUACUUCCCUCUUGAGUUCUAGAAACCCUAAAUCGCAGAGGAGCUCCAUUGUUGAGUGGAUUGAAGCUUGGAGAAGUAAUCUUUAAAGGAAUUUGUGGGAAUUGAAGGCUUGGGGCAAGGGGCUUUGCUUGGAAUCAACUUCAUUGCAGUUGGGGGCGUCCAUUGGAGGUAAUAUCUCGUUCUUGGUCUGAUUGUAUGUUGUUUCUUCAAUUUGGGGUUUGUGGGAUCUUGUCUAAGGAUGUAAAUGGAAGUCUAGAGGUUAGAUCUGAGGUUGCUACCUCAGAUCUGGAAGGGAGGAGAAUCAGAGAGCAUGAAAGUCCCUGUGUUGGAGUGUUUAGUGAAGCUUGCAAGUCCCAAACCCUAGUUAUAAGUGAUUAAGGCCUAGAUCUCUUGGGAUUCACGUAAAGUUUGCCACUUUACGUGAUGGAUGAGUUGUAUAAGGCUAGAUCUAUGUUUUGGAUCAUUUGCAUGGCCUGGAAUGCUUCUGAAAGGAUUCAGAUCGGUGGUACUCGGCGAGUCACAUGGGUGAACUCGGCGAGUUGCUUGAAGAUGAGCUGGGACUCGACGAGUUGGAAGAACAACUCGGCGAGUCGGAUGAAGAUAGCCUUGAACUCGGCGAGUUGUAUGAACAACUCGGCGAGUAGGUUGAUGAUAGCCUUGGACUCGGCGAGUCUGUUCUUGGACUCGGCGAGUCUUGUCGAAGAGUUCCGAUAUUCUCUGGUUGAGUCGAGAAUCGGUGAGUCAAGGGAUGACUCGGUGAGUUGUGUGCGAGUGGACUCUGAGUUGUUGGACUCGGCGAGUCUCGGGGUGACUCGGCGAGUUAGGUCGCGGAUGGAGUGAAGUCUGAGUAUGGGAACUCGGCGAGUCAUAGGGUUGACUCGGCGAGUAGGGUCAGUCAGGAGUUGACUUUGACCUUGUCUUUGUCCAAGGGUUGACCAAUGGUGUCCAGGGGCAUUUUGGUAAUUAUUGUUUGUUGUUUUGAGUUCAGCGCAUUGGUGGUUGACCAGUGGUGGAGAUCGUAUCAGUGAUCGGAGUAGCUUGGAUUAUCUGUUCAGUCGGCAGCUUCGAGGUGAGUUAUCCUCACUAUAUCAACGGGGUCUAAGGCACCAAGGCCGGCCCUUAUCGGAUUGAGAUCCGGGUGGUUGUUAUUAUGUUACUGCUUUGACAUGUUUGCAUCCUGUGAGUUAGGAUGGUAUAUGCUAGAGACCUGAUUGAGAUCGGUAUCCUGAGAGAUAGGGAGAUGCUAUGUUAGUGACCUGUUAGGUCGGUAUCCUGGUUAGGAUGGUGGUAUGUUAUGUGAUCUGUUGAUCUGCUUAUUGACUGUGAAUUGUUAGAUGAUUGUAUGUAUAUGUGCACAUGGAUGUUUGGACUGGAGUUGGGUUGAGGCGGGUCCUGCUGUGUGCAGUAGGCCAAGAUACCCAGGGCGGACCGGUUGUCCCGUAGGCCCAGCGAGCGGUCCGGAUAGGCUGUAGGUCCCGUUAGGGGUGGACCAGACGUGCCGAAGGCUCGGAGAGUGGAUCAGACAGACUGAAGGCCCGGUGCGGGCGGGCCGGUCAUACUGUAGACUCAGAGAGUGGACCAUGUGGAUUGAAGGCCCGGGAACGGGCGGACCAAUCACACUGCAGACUCGAUGUAUGUGGAUGGACUCAUAGGGUGGACCAGGUGGACUGUUGGCCGGUGCGGCGGACCAGUCACACAGUAGACCCGGAGAGCUUGGCUGUUCUAUGAUCGGAUAUGUUAUGGCAUGUUAUGCGUGUAUGGUAUUUGUGGUUGGUAUUUUGGGGGUAUCUCACUAAGCUUUCGGGCUUACAGUUGUGGUUUCAUGUUUUUCAGGUUCUUCAGGAGAUCGUGGCAAGGAGAAGGCGUGAUCGUACCGCUCCUCAUAAUUUUGUGGUGUUAUGAUUCUGGGAAUACGAUAAAUAUUUUGUAUUGAAAACCUUUUUGUAAAGAAUUAUUGGAAUUGAUAUGUUUUUGCAAAAUUUAAAAUUGGUUGUAUUUUUGGUC